rnacentral:rRNA from 1 species
GACGGACGCUGGCGGCAUGCCUAACACAUGCAAGUCGAACGGGGAUACAAGAGCUUGCUUUUGUAUCUUAGUGGCGGACGGGCGAGUAACGCGUGAGCAACCUGCCCUUCAGUGGGGAAUAACGUCUGGAAACGGACGCUAAUACCGCAUAACACAACGAAGCUGCAUGACUUUGUUGUCAAAGGAUUUAUUCGCUGAAGGAUGGGCUCGCGUCCGAUUAGCUAGAUGGUGGGGUAAAGGCUCACCAUGGCGACGAUCGGUAGCCGAACUGAGAGGUUGAUCGGCCGCAUUGGGACUGAGACACGGCCCAGACUCCUACGGGAGGCAGCAGUGGGGGAUAUUGCACAAUGGGGGAAACCCUGAUGCAGCAAUGCCGCGUGAGGGAAGAAGGGUCUUCGGGAUUGUAAACCUAAGUAGCCAGGGACGAUAAUGACGGUACCUGGGAGAGUAAGCUCCGGCUAACUACGUGCCAGCAGCCGCAGUAAG